GUUUGAACAUCAUUUUCUGUGCAGAUCAUAAGUGAAAGGAGAAAGUUUCAUAGCAUAGAAGAGAGAAUGGAAGCAUCAAACCUGUCACAAUCCAUUCCUCUGCUGCUGUUGUUCUGCUCUUUCUCCCUGCCAGCCACUCCCCUCUCAUCAGUCACCUCUGUUCACCUGUGCGCUCAGGUGCUUCUCAUCAGUCUCUAGCCACUAUUUAAACAACACCAGUCCAGCAUCACAUCACCAGAUUGUCUUUGUAUUAUGCAGAACUUUCCAGCACUCAUCAUUGGCUUGAUUUCUUCGUCUCUGCCCUGAAAGACGGCAGCGAUCUCCUCAAAAGUCUUGCCCUUGGUCUCAGGUACCCGGAGAUAAGUAAAUACAGUGAAGGCAAGAAGCAGCACGGCAAACAGGAUGAACACGUAACAACCCAACAAUUUCUGUUAAGAAGAAAAAAUAAAACUUACCUCUAUAUAUGGAAAGGUCAUGCCUAUGAUGAAGUUGCUGGUCCAGUUGCAGCAGCCAGCCAGAGCGAUGGCCGCAGGCCGAGGUCCCUGGCUAAACA